CCGCGGGAGGCAGCGGCUGGUAGUGGCCGGGCGGCGCUUGCAACGAGCCCUCGGGGCGCUUCCCUGCCGCCCAGCCGUGCGGCCUCUGCGCUUUGUUGCCGUCCGCCCAUGUUGAAGUCACCGCUUGAAUUGUCAUCCCGAGGCGACCAUGGAAAGCGAUGGUAAAUCUCCUUUUUAAGCCAGAUUAACUGAGAUUCUAAGCAACAUACAAAGCAAAGACCUUCUUUUCUAUAAGAAAAAGAGGCAAGAGGAGUGUCUAAAUAUGAAAGCAGGAAAAUGCAAUCCAUCCCUCAACCCAAAUCCACAGCGUGGGUGUUAGAACGCAGUUUCAGCAUGCCCCACCACCCAUGUCACCCUUGGAAGAGCUACGGGCUUCUUCUCCAGGUGGUGGAGCUAGCACAGCCCUGUGACAUAUGUGUGUGUACAGCCCCUUCCCAUUGCAACUGGUCUGAAAACCACAGAAGGAAUCCUGCUGCUGGUACCAGCUAUGUAACUGCUCAUACGGUGUCCAUGGUGUUACAUCUUGCAUAGGCAGAGGAGAUAGUGACAUCCCACCCCUGUUCUAAUCAACCUAGCACCUCUUCUGCACCAAAUCUUUGUCUCCAGCCUGUUGGUGAUAUGGAACUGUGCUCAUGAACAUGUGAAUUCAUGAAAUUUGCUGUCUACCAGAGCAGUCUAAUGGAUUAUGUGUUUCCUUGGGGAGUUAAUGGACAACAGCCACACGACGGUGAUUGUUUUCAUGCUAUUUCAAUCACAUUGGAUACAGAUAACUGAACCAGAAGCAAUUAAUUUGAGAAGAAAUAGGUUCAAAAUCUAGAGCAAUAUGGCUGCAUAAUGAGCCCCACCACCAGUUGAGUCAAGCAUGCAAGUGAACAAACUAAAAUAGGCAAAUAUCUGCCUUGAAUUCUUUGCAUCUGCCAGCAGCCACCGACAUUUUCCAUUAGCUGGGACUGUCAGAGCGGACUAAGCAUGUAAAUCAGGUGGAGUCCACACCUUUGAUAAUCCAUUUCUCUCUCAAUAGACCUCUGGGGAGUGGCCACUCAUCUUCAUGUCACAUACAUGAAAAAUCACUCAAAAUGCCAUCCAGCCUCCUUAAUUUAUUCCCCUUUAUCUCUGUGGAGCCCAGGGAAGACGAUACACAUUACACAGAGCUCUGCUUCUGCUAUGUGAGAUGUCAACAGUGAGAUAAUUCAGCUAAUCAAGAAGGAAUAUGAUAUUGAAGAUGAGGUCUUUCAAACGGUUUGACUGUCCUGGCUGUGUCACCACCCGCUUCUUGUGCACCUCCCAGCCUCCUCACUGAAAAGUCCUUGACUUGGUAUAAACAUUGCUUAGCAACAACUAAAACAUCAGUGUAUUACCAACAUUCUUCUCAUACUAAAUCCAAAACACAGCACUAUAUCAGCUACUAUGAAGAAAACUCUGUCUCAGCCAAAACCAGGACAGUCUGUCAGCAAUUUUCAAGAAGGCUUGCCAGAGUUCAUAUAUUUUGCAGGUGUUUUUUCUUAUUUUCUUUUUAUUUGUGAGCUAAGGUAGUUCUGAUCCCUACGAAAGCUAGAGGUGGGAUUACUUAAGAAAACAGCUGUAGAAGACAAGGUUAAUAUUUGCCUGGGCUACGGGACUCAUCCUGUAACUUUCUUUAGGAUACCUACUCAUCAUAGGUAUUGACACAUCUACAGUGAAACAGCCUUCUCUUUACAAAACCUCUAGGAUUAACUGACAUCCUGUAAUUCCACAGCAACGGGCAUGCCAACAAUACCACACAUGCAGUUUGUGCAACCAUAAGUGAAAAGGCUUUCAGAGGAGGUGACGUUGGACUCAGCCACCAAAUCUCCUGGAAGGAGGAAUGGCCUUGGUGGUGAUGUCCCUGCUUGACGUGCAGGUGUGCCCUUAGUUCCUUAGUCACACUAGCAGGAGCACACUGUGUAACGCAGAUUCAAUGCUCUGUAAUACAACUGUCUGAUAAACAGCAUCUGGUCA